AGAACGAACGCUGGCGGCAGGCUUAACACAUGCAAGUCGAGCGCAUCCUUCGGGGUGAGCGGCAGACGGGUGAGUAACGCGUGGGGAUAUGCCCAGAGGUGUGGAAUAACUCAGGGAAACUUGAGCUAAUACCGCAUGAGCCCUUCGGGGGAAAGAUUUAUCGCCUUUGGAUUAACCCGCGUCAGAUUAGCUAGUUGGUAGGGUAAUGGCCUACCAAGGCGACGAUCUGUAGCUGGUCUGAGAGGAUGACCAGCCACACUGGGACUGAGACACGGCCCAGACUCCUACGGGAGGCAGCAGUGGGGAAUAUUGGACAAUGGGCGCAAGCCUGAUCCAGCCAUGCCGCGUGAGUGAUGACGGCCUUAGGGUUGUAAAGCUCUUUUAACAGGACGAUAAUGACGGUACCUGUAGAAUAGCCCGGCUAACUUCGCGCCAGCACGCCGC
rnacentral:rRNA from 1 species